AUUUAUAUAUAGAACUGUCUGGAUAUUAUUUCAUUUGAUGCCAUCUGCAAUGUAGGCAGAACCACUGCAAAACCUUUUACCACCCUACUCAAAAAUUCAGUUUGCCACCACCGUUAUGUAGCUGUAAUCUCCAAUUGGUUAUUUGAAAAAAAAAAAAAUGAUCAUGUCUACAUUGCAAAAUAACAGAAAAAGAAAAUGAAAGAAAUAUAUAGAAAAUGCAUUAUACACAAAUAGUCCCCUGACUGAUAAACAGAGCCCGGAGUUUAACCGUUUCAGUUCAUUUUGAUGUAGUGCAGUAUAACCUAACCUUACAUUUAUGGUUUUUUUCCCCCCUCCCAUUGAGUUAUAAAUAGCUGAUAGUCAAGCAAGGCUCCCAACUGUCUCGGAGUCAGCAGGAUAGUCCCUAUUUCAGAAUCCUGUCCUGCAGUCCUGAUUGUGUUCCAGUGUCCACAGCAGCUUGACACCAAAACCUCUCCUGAAAAAUGAUCAUAUCAGCUAUCCUUUUAAUCUACA